rnacentral:rRNA from 1 species
UACAGAGGUCUCAAGCGUUGUUCGGAAUCCCUGGGCGUAAAGGGUGUGUAGGCUGUGCGUUAAGUCAGAUGUGAAAGCCCAGGGCUCAACCUUGGAACUGCAUCCGAUACUGGCGUGCUAGAGAAUUGGAGAGGAGUCUAGAAUUCACGGUGUAGCAGUGAAAUGCGUAGAUAUCGUGAGGAAUACCAAGUGCGAAGGCAGGACUCUGGACAUUUUCUGACGCUGAGACACGAAGGCUAGGGGAGCAAACGGG